CUGGCCCUACGGGAGGCAGCAGUGGGGAAUAUUGCACAAUGGGGGGAACCCUGAUGCAGCGAUGCCGCGUGGGUGAAGGAGUAUUUCGGUAUGUAAAGCCCUAUCAGCAGGGAAGAACAAUGACGGUACCUGACUAAGAAGCACCGGAUAAAUACGUGCCAGCAGCCGCGGUAAUACGUAUGGUGCAAGCGUUAUCCGGAUUUACUGGGUGAAAAGGGAGCGCAGGCGGCGCGUUAAGACUGGUGUGAAAGC
rnacentral:rRNA from 1 species